AUUGAACGCUGGCGGCAUGCUUUACACAUGCAAGUCGAACGGUAACAGGCCGCAAGGUGCUGACGAGUGGCGAACGGGUGAGUAAUGCAUCGGAACGUGCCCAGUCGUGGGGGAUAACGCAGCGAAAGCUGCGCUAAUACCGCAUACGAUCUCUGGAUGAAAGCGGGGGACCGAAAGGCCUCGCGCGAUUGGAGCGGCCGAUGUCAGAUUAGGUAGUUGGUGGGGUAAAGGCCCACCAAGCCAACGAUCUGUAGCUGGUCUGAGAGGACGACCAGCCACACUGGGACUGAGACACGGCCCAGACUCCUACGGGAGGCAGCAGUGGGGAAUUUUGGACAAUGGGCGCAAGCCUGAUCCAGCAAUGCCGCGUGCAGGAAGAAGGCCUUCGGGUUGUAAACUGCUUUUGUACGGAACGAAACGGUCCGGGUUAAUACCCUGGGCUAAUGACGGUACCGUAAGAAUAAGCACCGGCUAACUACGUGCCAGCCGCCGCGGUAAUAC
rnacentral:rRNA from 1 species